GCUUUUUAUGCCCUAAAAAGUUAUUGGCUUUGGGGAAGGACCCUUCAAGUCUAUCGUCACCUGCCAGAUUUGGGGAUUAGUAAUUUGAUUUGGUGAAACGGUGGGUCGCUCGUCAAGUUUGGAUAUUUGAUGAGAUUUAUUUUGAGAUAGGACGAAAUUUUUUUUUGCUGUUGAAGCUGGAUAUUGAGCAAAAUUCAUCUGGAUCUCAGAUACUUUGUGUAGUCAAUUUAUAGAAAAUGCCUAGGGAUUUGUCGCGAUCGCGGUCACCCUCAUACAGGCGAAGGCAUUCACCAUCGCCAGUGGUGCAUAGGUAUAGCAGGAGGAACCGAAGGGAUAGGAGCCCAUCUCCAUAUUCAUCCUAUUCUUAUAGCAGGUGAUCCUGUUUAUGACUUUAUGUUCUCACUAUUUAAGUUGAUCUAAUUUAAUCUUCAAGGAAUUGUGAGAAAGAUUAACGGCUCAUGUAUUUGUGUUGCUGGUUGGAAAUACAAAUUGUUCAAGUAGCUAUGUACGCAUCUUAUCCUUCUCCAUUGGUCUUUUGGUGCUUGUCUGUCCUUUAUUUUCCUCUCUUAUGCAUGUUGUCUAUAUCAUUUUGCUUAAAGUUUUAUCUUGGAUAAAAUAUGGAAUCUGAUUUUAUUUUUUAAAAGAUUAAGUUGGAUAAACUGAAUGCCAACUUCAGGCAUUGGUAUGAUUAUAAAAUCCCAUAAUGUGAAACAUGGUCUUGGUAUCUUAAUAAAUGUAUUUUUUGUCCUUCAUUUGUAAUCCUAUUGUAUUUAAAAACGUUUGGCAAGUUUUCUUGACAUUCAAGAGCUUGUUGAGUUGAAAAUUUUUCAAAGGGACUGGAUAUGUGAUUCUAAGUUCCUGUGGUGUAACCCAUAUUUAAUAUGUCAAAGUUCACCACCUAGCAAUUCAGUGAGAGCAUUCCACACAACACUACUUUAAAUUGGAUUCUAUAUGGAAGCUUAUCAUUAUUUGGAAUUCUUUCUUUACUUCUUUUAGUGUAUGGGAAUUGGGAAAUGGAUGAUUUGAUUGUUUACUUUGGCAUGCUUAUUAAAUUUUGCUCUUAAAAAAGACCUCUCUCCAUGGAUUCCUCCUGUAUUUUCUUGAUGCAUAGGAGUUAAUGUUUGACAACCCCCAUACCAAUGGGUUAAACACUGUUGAUUUUGUCUAAAGUCUGUAAUGAUUAUGUUUCUCAACUAAUAAUUGCUAUUAAUUAUCAAUAUUUCAAUGGGCUUCUGCUUCUGGGGAACUUAACAUUUGCAUGGAAAGGUAGAGAGAUGCCAAAUAUAUUCUUUUGGAGAAAAAUACAAAGAGAGCUUUAAAAGUGCCAUAGGAUUCAUGCCCUUUGUCAGAAAAUUUAAAAAACUCAGUUUCUUCUCAUCAUAUGGGGUGGGAGGUGAGCAGGUGAUGGGUGCUGAUGGGUGUGCUUUUGUUGCUCGAUUGUGAUAUUAGCUUCUUCAUGUGAUAAAAGAUGGAGCACACAAUGGUUAUUCUUAACAAUGUAUGAGGUAACUGUAUUGCUUCGAUUUUAAUUGCUGUAAAUGGUGGGAGGGUUCCAAAUUAUCAUGUACAUUAUUGGUGCACUCUUUGCUGCUGUUACUCAAUAAUUUCUUUUGUAUUACACAGAAGGAGAAGUCGAUCUAUUUCUCCACGACGUCGCAAAAGUCGUUCUCCAAUUCCAAGACAUCGUAAAAGUCGUUCUCCAACUCCAAGGCGUCAUAAGUGGCAAAGAAGUAGGAGUUCCUCAUUGUCUCCUACUCGUAAAUCUUCUAGUCCAAGUCUUGCGUCAUUGGAGCGCAAAAUUAUUGGUGAAAAAUUGAGAAAAGAAGAUGAAGAAGAGAAGAAGAGGUAUAUGUUGCAUUGACAUUUUAGUUCAGAUCAUUGUCAUAGUUCUAUUUCCUUGCAUUGGAUCUAACUUUAAUUUUUUUCCAGUUAAUUGUGUUUCAUUUAACUUUUGGCUACAUUUAUGAAAGGAUUUUACUUAGCGGGAGAGAAUGUGUUCUUAGGGAUUAAUUUACUGCUAUCAUUUAAAUUAUUGGAUCUAAGUUGAGGGACUUAGAAUAAUGGUGUUCAGUAGUAUUAUGUUGGGCCCUGUAUGUUGUAUUAUUAAGCUGAAGGAUAAUAGUCUGCAGCCUGGCAAAAUAGGAGCCUCUAUAGCAGUUAUUUGAGAUAAGAGAUGCUUGUGUAAUCUGGUCCAAACUGACGAGAAAAAAAAAAAAAACCUAGGAGGC
rnacentral:misc_RNA from 1 species